AAUAUUGGACAAUGGGGGCAACCCUGAUCCAGCCAUGCCGCGUGUGUGAAGAAGGUUUUCGGAUCNUAAAACUCUGUCAUUGGGGANGAAUAAAUGACGGUACCCAAUGAGGAAGCCCCGGCUAACUACGUGCCAGCAGCCGCGGUAAUACGUAGGGGGCGAGCGUUGUCCGGAAUUACUGGGCGUAAAGGGUACGUAGGCGGCUAUAUAAGUCAGGUGUGAAAUACCAGUGCUUAACACUGGAAUUGCAUUUGAAACUGUGUAGCUUGAGUUAAGGAGAGGAAAGUGGAAUUCCUAGUGUAGCGGUGAAAUGCGUAGAUAUUAGGAGGAAUACCAGUGGCGAAGGCGACUUUCUGGACUUUUUCUGACGCUGAGGAACGAAAGCAUGGGGAGCAAACA
rnacentral:rRNA from 1 species